AUGACGGAAGAUGGUGAAUGGAAUGAGGAGAUUAUUGAGAGAACCUUCAUUGCCCCGGAUGCACUAGCUAUCCUUAACAUGCCGAGGCCGCGGGUAGCGUUACCUGAUUUUUGGGCAUGGGGCUAUGAGAGGUCCGGGCUGUUCACGAUUCGAUCAGCGUACCGGAUGCUGUUGGAGUCCCGGGAAGGUGAGUUGAAUCAGAUUGGUAGCUCCUCCCAGGGGGAGGAGGUAUGGAAGUCACUAUGGCGCUUGAAGGUGCAGCCCAAGAUACGAAUCUUCUGGUGGCGGGUCCUUAAAGGGUUCCUGUCGGCGAAGGAAGAGUUAUGUCGACGACAUAUAGGGGAAGAUCACACCUGUCCAAUGUGCGGCAACCAGGAAGGGGACUUGCUUGAUUCCAGCUUGAUUGGAAGAGACAGGGCGGCCAUUGUUAUAUCAGUCAUGUGGACAAUUUGGUCAAGCAGAAACAAAUACACUCAUGAGGAGGUCAAAUAUCAACCCGUAAGGUUGAUUGUCCUGGUUAAGGAACUCAUCCAAGCUUUGUACAUCCCUCCGGAUGCUGGCGAGAAGAGGGGUCUUACGAAAGAGAGAUGGAAACCACCGGAAGCAGGAUGGUGCAAAAUUAAUACGGAUGCUGUGGUGGACGUGAAUGGGGUUGGCUCAGCGAUCGGAUGGGUGGCCCGGGGCCACGACGGAGAGCUCAGGCUAGCCGGGGGCCGCAAGCUAUCCGGGGUGACUGAUCUGUAUUGCGCUGAAUUGCUAGCUGUCAGGGAGGCUGUGCGUUUGGCUAUGGAGAAGGGCUGGACAUGGGUGACUGUCGAGAUGGACUGCAAAAAUGUUAUAGAUGAGUAUACGGCAAAGGAGUGCAGGUCGACGGGAAGCCCGAUCAUCAGCGAGAUCAAAUCAUAUCUCCAACAUUUUUAG
rnacentral:rRNA from 1 species